GUACUCACUUUGGCAGCACAUUUAUUAAAAUAAGAACAAUGAAGAAAAGAUUAGCAUGUCCCCUGUGUGAGAAUGACACAUAUUCAUGAAGUGUUCCAUAUUUUA
rnacentral:snRNA from 1 species